GCCUCGACUGCAAGCGAACAAAAGAAAUGCAUUGGCGCAUUACAAUACAUGCAAUUGGAGGUGACGGACGUGAAAAAUCUUAUCUAGCGACACAACCCCCGAGAGAUUGGAAAAUCAACUCAGUGCUGAAAUUGGCAAAAUUGCAUCAUCAUUAACCUUAUCAGAAGAGGAUCUGUUCCGAAUCUCAAACAGCAUUUCCUUCCGUGCGGCCCAAAUCGUGGUACCAUCAUUCACCUCGGCCAAAAAGAAUCGGUGAAAACAAUUAUGGGUUCCCGCUCUUCGGACAAAACAUCCCCAAUGCAGGCGUCGGAUGCACCGACAACUCCUCCCCCAGGACCAGCAGCUGUUCCGGUAAUGCCGAACGCCCCGGGUGACGCUUCCAGAGGGCCGACGUCAGCCAUGCAGACUCCUACAGGUACUGCUGCCACAACCCCGCUUGUGUCAGCAUUGCAGCAGACGGCUCAAAAAGAUGCUGCUAUAGAGCAACAGGCCUCGAGUGAGCCAUCACAAGAACAAACUCCUCAACGAUCUGCUCAGAGUGCAGCAGGAAUGCAGCAGGCGGCUCGAGCAGAUGAUGCUCCGGUAAACAACUUUUCCUUUUCACCUUCCAUAACUAUAGACAAUUUUUCGAUAUCGUUUAUAAUCGUCCCUCCUCUACGGGGAUUACGCCGCGCAGGACAAUGGUGUUCAUCAAUGAAAAAUGCGUUUUUAAGAGCAUUUAAUAGACGAUAAUGACGGUCGUAAAUAAUCAGGACACGGUGCAAUGGUGCAAUUUCCAACACAACCAUGAGCUAAAAACCUUUGGAUCAGGAAAUUAAUUUUUUUUUUCGAAUUAUUUGAAAUCAAAAUUAAGCAAGUUCAAAAGUUUAUAGUGUAAGGGCAAUAAAGUGGCAACAAAGGGAGACUACCACCAUUCUAGAUUCUAGAACAGGAGCUAGAAAUUCUAGAAAAGGAGAUCUCUCUGUACCGUCCACUUUUCGCUAGGGGUAAAAGGCAGGCAAUAUUGACGAGAGUGUAAUGAUAGGAGAAAUAACAUUGACAUACUUAAACGUAUAUAAAAGGCUCGUGAUAAGAUCAUCUUAAAGGUCAAAAGGCUAGUGAUAGGAUAACUAAUAGUAAGAUACUUUAAUGUAUACACUAGGCUAAUGAUUGGAGAGUCUAAAUUGUCAAAAAGGGUAGUCAUAAGAGGAAUAACUUAGGAAUAACUAAGUUUAAGAAAUCUGUUCUAGAACUAGUCAUGAAAUCCAAGGAGGAACAGCUUUUACCACUUUCUUUCAGCUUCUUCGCGCGUGAGAUCUCAACUGAUGGCUAUUUCUACGUAUAUACCCAACACAAUUCUUUGACAAAAUAUCUUUCCUAACCAUUUCGUAGGAAGGCAUAUUUGUAAACACCUUUGUAUUAUAAUGCUAUGCACAUUGCUUUUCGUUUCUCUUUUCGUUUCUUUCUUUCUUUCUUUUUUUCUUUCUUUCUUUCUUUCUUUCAUUCAUGUUUAGGUAUUUUUUCUCUUUGACUUAAUAUCAGUAUUGCUUUUUUUAUUAUUUAGCAAAGCAGAGCUAUCCCCUCAUGUCCGGCGGUUCGCUGAAGAUCACUUUCUCAAAUGGAAUAUGUGCCCGACAUCAUCAUGCCCAUGGAUGAGCAGAUUGCGAAACAUCGUCUGGAGAAUAGAUGGCAGCAUAAAUGGCUUUUAUUAUUUAACUAAUAAAGACUGACUAAACCCUCUGUCCCUAGCGUGUAGGCCGGCAUCGCAUGGAUCGAGCUUAUGGUAUACAAAGUUGAUGAAUUGGCUGCCAUCAUCACGACACCGUAUGCGCUACAGAGGAAAUGUGAAAACAUACCUUCCAUGAAAACAAACAAAGUUGUCGCCGGCUGGGCUGGUUGUACAUGACUGCGGGAACCAGAUUAUGCCAACGAUUUUGACGGGAAAAGGCAAGUUUAAAGCAAUGUGGUGAAAUUGGCCAACAUAGCCCGAUAAAAUCUGGCUGCAUUCUUCUUCAUCGACCACCCCGCAACGUCGGCAAUACUACUUCGGAACUCUGUAACGUUAGUACCAGCCAACAACAUACCUUGUAAUUCAACAAGAAGAGCUUAGGCAGGAUUUGCUAUCCAAGCUAUUCGAAGUCUCAUCAUAGAUGUGUCCCAGCUAGAACGAAGAAGACUGUUACUACAAUUGAUGUGAUAUUCAAUAUAAGACCGAACACAACUACUCAAAAUAUUGAAAAUAUACGAAAAGAACCAUCAUA